AAGGGAGGCCUAAUUCAGGUAGGAGACGAAAAAAAAGUGGUCCCUACCAAGAAUCAAUCCCAAAAGGUCGGAACGAGGUAUGAGGCUUUCAAACUAGGUUCUGGGUUCAUAAAAGACCUGAAUCAGGAACAAGGGCUAUUAGCUCAGGUGGUUAGAGCGCACCCCUGAUAAGGGUGAGGUCCCUGGUUCGAGUCCAGGAUGGCCCACCUGCACAGGUGGCAAAAACAAGAGAAGCGAGGAAUCAGCACCUUAUCUUAUAUACAUAUAUAAGAGAGAAUGCUGGCUCUGAGUACAGAGUCCAGAGGAACCUUGAAAACUGCAUAGAGCUAGGUGAAAAAGCCAAAAAGAAGACCGCAA
rnacentral:tRNA from 1 species